rnacentral:lncRNA from 1 species
CUGCAGAGUAUUAGGGGGUAGCGGGUAUUCGAAAAAAAUGAAAUUUUUUUUUCUUCCCUAACCAAGGAUUGCACUCUAGUGCUAUCCGUGGGUGCCCUAACUAAGUACUUCACACGUGCAAUUCGUGUGAGACCGACCAAGGAAUGCACUCUAGUGCUAUCCGUGGGAGGCCCGGCCAAGCACUUCACGCGUGCAAUUCGUGUGAUACCGAUGAAGGAAUGCACUCUAGUGCUAUCCGUGGGAAGCCCGACCAAGCACUUCACGCGUGCAAUUCGUGUGACACCCGAUCAAGGAAUGCACUCUAGUGCUAUCCAUGGGUGGCCCGGCCAAGCACAUCACGCGUGCAAUUCGUGUGAUACCGAUCAAGGAAUGCACUCUAGUGCUAUCCGUGGGAGGCCCGACCAAGCACUUCACGCGUGCAAUUCGUGUGACACCCGAUCAAGGAAUGCACUCUAGUGCUAUGGAAUGCACUCUAGUGCUAUGGAAUGCACUCUAGUGCUAUCCGUGGGAGGCCCGACCAAGCACAUCACGCGUGCAAUUCGUGUGAUACCGAUCAAGGAAUGCACUCUAGUGCUAUGGAAUGCACUCUAGUGCUAUGGAAUGCACUCUAGUGCUAUCCGUGGGAGGCCCGACCAAGCACUUCACGCGAGCAAUUCGUGUGAGACCCGAUCAAGGAAUGCACUCUAGUGCUAUCCGUGGGAGGCCCGACCAAGCACUUCACGCUUGCAAUUCGUGUGAGACCGACCAAGGAAUGCACUCUAGAGCGAUCUGUUUGUGCAAUACGUGUGAGUCCCGACCAAGGAAUGCACUCUUGUGCGGUUUGUGGGAGGCCCGACCAAGCAUUUCAUGCGUGCAGUUCGUGUACCGACCAAAGAAUUGCAAUGAGAUGGGGUUUUUUCGGAUUUUGGCCUAUUUUAUGGAUGGGAAAUAAACGGUUUCUCUAUUUUAUGCGAACAUCCAAGAAAAGUUGUGCAGAGUAUUAGGGGGUAGUGGGUAUUCGAGAAAAAUGAAUUUUCGUUUUUUCAUCCCUAACCAAGGAAUGCACUCUAGUGCAAUCGAAGUGUGCCCUAACUAAGCAUUUCAUGCGUGCAAUUCGUGUGAGACCGACAGUGGAUUGCGCUC